UACAGAGGGUGCGAGCGUUAAUCGGAAUUACUGGGCGUAAAGCGUGCGUAGACGGUUAUGUAAGUCAGAUGUGAAAGCCCCGGGCUCAACCUGGGAAUUGCAUUUGAGACUGCAUAGCUAGGGUGCGGAAGAGGGAAGCGGAAUUUCCGGUGUAGCGGUGAAAUGCGUAGAUAUCGGAAGGAACACCAGUGGCGAAAGCGGCUUCCUGGUCCAGCACCGACGUCAGGCACGAAAGCGUGGGGAGCAAACAGG
rnacentral:rRNA from 1 species